UACGGAGGGAGCUAGCGUUGUUCGGAAUUACUGGGCGUAAAGCGCGCGUAGGCGGCUUUGUAAGUUAGAGGUGAAAGCCCGGGGCUCAACCCCGGAACUGCCUUUAAGACUGCAUCGCUUGAAUCCGGGAGAGGUGAGUGGAAUUCCGAGUGUAGAGGUGAAAUUCGUAGAUAUUCGGAAGAACACCAGUGGCGAAGGCGGCUCUCUGGGUCGUACCUGACGCUGAGGCGCGAAAGCGUGGGGAGCGAACGGG
rnacentral:rRNA from 1 species